UACGGAGGGUGCUAGCGUUGUUCGGAAUCACUGGGCGUAAAGCGCGUGCAGGCGGCCCAUUAAGUCAGAUGUGAAAGCCCUUGGCUCAACCAAGGAACUGCAUCUGAAACUACUGGGCUUGAGUACGGGAGAGGAGAGUGGAAUUCCCGGUGUAGAGGUGAAAUUCGUAGAUAUCGGGAAGAACACCGGUGGCGAAGGCGGCUCUCUGGACCGAUACUGACGCUGAGACGCGAAAGCGUGGGGAGCAAACAGG
rnacentral:rRNA from 1 species